AUGUCGGAAAUCAUCUUGGAAAACAAACCUAAGCUCAUCAAAUGGCUUAGUUUGGAUUAUAAAUUUGUUUUGCAACAUGUUCAAGCUAAAAAACUUAUAACACAGUCGCACUAUGAUGACUUGAUGGCCAUGAAGGCGAGCGACAGUAUCAUCAAACUUCUGGACAUCAUCCGUAGAAGAGGAGAAAAUGUGUGUCGAGAUUUUCUGGAUUUGCUAAAAGAUGAUGAUGUGAAUGAAAUAUCGCCGGAGCUAAGAGACUGGGUCAAAACAGUUGACUCAGAAGACCAGAAAACAGAAAAAUACAAAGGAAGAGCAAGUGUUAACAGACCUAAACAAGAAACUGCCAACAUGACAGGACAAUCACGCAUCCAAGUAAACAGCAAAAUCUCUGCAUCAGAUGGCAGCAGUGUAAUUUCGCCUACCAUAAUUGGUGGAAAUCUAGGGUCCUUUACAAUGAAUACGACGGUUGCACCCUCUGGCAGAUCAGAUGUGCAGACAAAUUAUUAUCAGAAGUUUCUAAAAUAAAACACCAGUCUGCUGGUUCAACAAGUGAAGAACAUUGAUCCAAUUAUUGAUGAUCUCGACCUACAUGAUGAAUCCGUUGCAGUUGUGAGAGUGAAGCCAACAGAUCAAGAGAAGAUGAGGAAACUGCUUACCGAACUGCUGAACAGCUACUGAGUGUUGUAUUGUUUACCCACCAGAUUAGCAGCAUGUUAUUAAAGGAAAUGGAAUAUUGUACUGUCAAUGCCAACAAUAAAUUUUUUAAUGUUUUGAUAGUAAAAGUGAUA
ensembl:lncRNA